UACGGGGGGGGGCGAGCGUUGUUCGGAAUUACUGGGCGUAAAGGGCGCGUAGGCGGUUCGCUAAGUUGGAUGUGAAAACUCUGGGCUCAACCCAGAGCCUGCAUCCAAAACUGGCGGGCUAGAGUUCUGGAGGGGGUAGCGGAAUUCCUGGUGUAGCGGUGAAAUGCGUAGAUAUCAGGAGGAACACCGGUGGCGAAGGCGGCUACCUGGACAGAAACUGACGCUGAGGCGCGAAAGCUAGGGGAGCAAACAGG
rnacentral:rRNA from 1 species